rnacentral:rRNA from 1 species
UACGAAGGGGCUAGCGUUGCUCGGAAUCACUGGGCGUAAAGCGCACGUAGGCGGCUUUCUAAGUCAGGGGUGAAAUCCUGGAGCUCAACUCCAGAACUGCCUUUGAUACUGGAGAGCUUGAGUCCGGGGAGAGGUGAGUGGAACUCCGAGUGUAGAGGUGAAAAUUUCGUAGAUAUUCGGAAAGAACACCAGUGGCGAAGGCGGCUCACUGGCCCGGUAUGACGCUGAUUGUGCGAA